rnacentral:sRNA from 1 species
GCUGGAUGUGGUGGCGCACACCUGUAAUUCCAACAGCUCAGGAGGCUGAGGCAGAAGGAUCACAAGUUCAAAGCCAGCCUCAACAACUUAGUAAGGCUUUAAGCAACUCAGUGAGACCCUGUCUCUA